rnacentral:rRNA from 1 species
AGAUUAAGUUAUUAAGGGCGCACGGUGGAUGCCUUGGCACUAGAAGCCGAUGAAGGACGUUACUAACGACGAUAUGCUUUGGGUAGCUGUAAGUAAGCGUUGAUCCAGAGAUUUCCGAAUGGGGGAACCCAACAUGAGUUAUGUCAUGUUAUCGACAUGUGAAUUCAUAGCAUGUCAGAAGGCAGACCCGGAGAACUGAAACAUCUUAGUACCCGGAGGAAGAGAAAGAAAAAUCGAUUCCCUGAGUAGCGGCGAGCGAAACGGGAAGAGCCCAAACCAACAAGCUUGCUUGUUGGGGUUGUAGGACACUCUAUACGGAGUUACAAAAGAACAUGUUAGACGAAUCAUCUGGAAAGAUGAAUCAAAGAAGGUAAUAAUCCUGUAGUCGAAAACAUAUUCUCUCUUGAGUGGAUCCUGAGUACGACGGAGCACGUGAAAUUCCGUCGGAAUCUGGGAGGACCAUCUCCUAAGGCUAAAUACUCUCUAGUGACCGAUAGUGAACCAGUACCGUGAGGGAAAGGUGAAAAGUACCCCGGAAGGGGAGUGAAAGAGAACUUGAAACCGUGUGCUUACAAGUAGUCAGAGCCCGUUAAUGGGUGAUGGCGUGCCUUUUGUAGAAUGAACCGGCGAGUUACGAUCUGAUGCAAGGUUAAGCAGCAAAUGUGGAGCCGCAGCGAAAGCGAGUCUGAAUAGGGCGUUGAGUAUUUGGUCGUAGACCCGAAACCAGGUGAUCUACCCUUGGUCAGGUUGAAGUUCAGGUAACACUGAAUGGAGGACCGAACCGACUUACGUUGAAAAGUGAGCGGAUGAACUGAGGGUAGCGGAGAAAUUCCAAUCGAACUUGGAGAUAGCUGGUUCUCUCCGAAAUAGCUUUAGGGCUAGCCUCAAGUGAUGAUUAUUGGAGGUAGAGCACUGUUUGGACGAGGGGCCCCUCUCGGGUUACCGAAUUCAGACAAACUCCGAAUGCCAAUUAAUUUAACUUGGGAGUCAGAACAUGGGUGAUAAGGUCCGUGUUCGAAAGGGAAACAGCCCAGACCACCAGCUAAGGUCCCAAAAUAUAUGUUAAGUGGAAAAGGAUGUGGCGUUGCCCAGACAACUAGGAUGUUGGCUUAGAAGCAGCCAUCAUUUAAAGAGUGCGUAAUAGCUCACUAGUCGAGUGACACUGCGCCGAAAAUGUACCGGGGCUAAACAUAUUACCGAAGCUGUGGAUUGUCCUUUGGACAAUGGUAGGAGAGCGUUCUAAGGGCGUCGAAGCAUGAUCGCAAGGACAUGUGGAGCGCUUAGAAGUGAGAAUGCCGGUGUGAGUAGCGAAAGACGGGUGAGAAUCCCGUCCACCGAUUGACUAAGGUUUCCAGAGGAAGGCUCGUCCGCUCUGGGUUAGUCGGGUCCUAAGCUGAGGCCGACAGGCGUAGGCGAUGGAUAACAGGUUGAUAUUCCUGUACCACCUAGUAUCGUUUUAAUCGAUGGGGGGACGCAGUAGGAUAGGCGAAGCGUGCUGUUGGAGUGCACGUCCAAGCAGUAAGGCUGAGUGUUAGGCAAAUCCGGCACUCAUAAGGCUGAGCUGUGAUGGGGAGAGGAAAUCGUUUCCUCGAGUCGUUGAUUUCACACUGCCGAGAAAAGCCUCUAGAUAGAUAACAGGUGCCCGUACCGCAAACCGACACAGGUAAUCAAGAUGAGAAUUCUAAGGUGAGCGAGCGAACUCUCGUUAAGGAACUCGGCAAAAUGACCCCGUAACUUCGGGAGAAGGGGUGCUCUUUAGGGUUCACGCCCAGAAGAGCCGCAGUGAAUAGGCCCAAGCGACUGUUUAUCAAAAACACAGGUCUCUGCUAAACCGUAAGGUGAUGUAUAGGGGCUGACGCCUGCCCGGUGCUGGAAGGUUAAGAGGAGUGGUUAGCUUCUGCGAAGCUACGAAUCGAAGCCCCAGUAAACGGCGGCCGUAACUAUAACGGUCCUAAGGUAGCGAAAUUCCUUGUCGGGUAAGUUCCGACCCGCACGAAAGGCGUAACGAUUUGGGCACUGUCUCAACGAGAGACUCGGUGAAAUCAUAGUACCUGUGAAGAUGCAGGUUACCCGCGACAGGACGGAAAGACCCCGUGGAGCUUUACUGUAGCCUGAUAUUGAAAUUCGGCACAGCUUGUACAGGAUAGGUAGGAGCCUUUGAAACGUGAGCGCUAGCUUACGUGGAGGCGUUGGUGGGAUACUACCCUAGCUGUGUUGGCUUUCUAACCCGCACCACUUAUCGUGGUGGGAGACAGUGUCAGGCGGGCAGUUUGACUGGGGCGGUCGCCUCCUAAAAGGUAACGGAGGCGCUCAAAGGUUCCCUCAGAAUGGUUGGAAAUCAUUCAUAGAGUGUAAAGGCAUAAGGGAGCUUGACUGCGAGACCUACAAGUCGAGCAGGGUCGAAAGACGGACUUAGUGAUCCGGUGGUUCCGCAUGGAAGGGCCAUCGCUCAACGGAUAAAAGCUACCCCGGGGAUAACAGGCUUAUCUCCCCCAAGAGUUCACAUCGACGGGGAGGUUUGGCACCUCGAUGUCGGCUCAUCGCAUCCUGGGGCUGUAGUCGGUCCCAAGGGUUGGGCUGUUCGCCCAUUAAAGCGGUACGCGAGCUGGGUUCAGAACGUCGUGAGACAGUUCGGUCCCUAUCCGUCGUGGGCGUAGGAAAUUUGAGAGGAGCUGUCCUUAGUACGAGAGGACCGGGAUGGACAUACCUCUGGUGUACCAGUUGUCGUGCCAACGGCAUAGCUGGGUAGCUAUGUAUGGACGGGAUAAGUGCUGAAAGCAUCUAAGCAUGAAGCCCCCCUCAAGAUGAGAUUUCCCAACUUCGGUUAUAAGAUCCCUCGAAGAUGACGAGGUUAAUAGGUUCGAGGUGGAAGCGUGGUGACACGUGGAGCUGACGAAUACUAAUCGAUCGAAGACUUAAUCAAUUUUUAAA